CGGUGCGGACGGAGGCGCACGCCGGGAGCGGUGCUGCGGCUCAGCUGAUAAUUGAAGGGACCCGAGGAGCCGCCGCCGACGCUGCCGCCGGGGGGGGGUGGGGGGAGCGAGUGGAAGUUACUGCCGCGCCACCGAGUCCGGACCGGAGACUUUGGGGCCCAACUAGUGAAUGGUAGUGUCUAGAAAGGGUAUGUCCCUUCAAGAGAGAGGUGCCAAUGUCCAACCGGCCUAAUAACAAUCCAGGGGGGUCACUGCGACGUUCACAGAGGAACACUGCCGGGGCCCAACCACAAGACGACUCAAUAGGAGGAAGGUCACAUUUAGGGCAGGCAAAACAUAAGGGAUAUAGCCCUCCUGAGAGUAGAAAAUCUAAUUCUAAGGCACCCAAAGUGCAGUCUAAUACUACUUCUGAACUGUCAAGGGGACACCUUUCUAAAAGAAGCUGCAGUUCAUCAUCUGCUGUCAUAGUCCCACAACCAGAGGAUCCAGACAGAGCCAAUACUUCAGAAAGGCAGAAAACGGGGCAGGUGCCUAAGAAAGACAAUUCUCGAGGAGUGAAACGCAGUGCUAGUCCAGACUACAACAGGACCAACUCUCCUAGCUCUGCAAAAAAACCCAAAGCACUUCAGCAUACUGAAUCUCCCUCAGAAACAAGUAAGCCACACAGUAAGUCAAAGAAGAGACAUUUAGACCAGGAGCAACAACUGAAAUCUGCACAGUCUCCAUCAACAAGCAAGGCUCAUACCAGGAAGAGUGGGGCCACUGCUAGUUCACGGAGUCAGAAAAGAAAGAGGACAGAGAGUUCUUGUAUAAAGAGUGGUUCUGUGUCGGAAGCAACUGGUGCCGAAGAGAGAUCUGCAAAACCUACCAAGCUGGCUUCAAAAUCAGCCGCCUCAGCCAAAGCUGGGUGUAGCACAAUCACCGAUUCUUCUUCUGCUGCCUCUACUUCCUCCUCGUCUUCUGCUGUAGCCUCGGCCUCCUCUGCUGUUCCACCAGGUGCCAGGGUGAAACAAGGAAAAGACCAGAACAAGGCCAGGCGUUCCCGUUCAGCAUCCAGCCCCAGUCCAAGAAGAAGUAGCAGGGAGAAGGAACAGAGUAAAACUGGUGGCUCUUCAAAAUUUGAUUGGGCUGCUCGUUUCAGCCCUAAAGUUAGCCUUCCUAAAACAAAACUGUCUCUUCCAGGGUCUUCUAAGUCAGAGACAUCAAAACCUGGACCUUCUGGAUUACAGGCCAAAUUAGCAAGUUUAAGAAAAUCUACCAAGAAGCGCAGCGAAUCCCCACCUGCUGAGCUCCCCAGUUUGAGGCGGAGCACACGCCAGAAGACCACGGGCUCCUGUGCUAGUGCCAGUCGGCGAGGCUCUGGCCUGGGCAAAAGAGGAGCAGCUGAAGCGCGUCGACAGGAGAAGAUGGCAGACCCUGAGGGCAACCAGGAGACAGUGAAUUCUUCAGCCGCACGGACGGACGAAACUCCCCAAGGAGCGGCAGCCUCUAGUUCUGUUGCAGGGGCUGUGGGCAUGACCACUUCUGGGGAGAGUGAAUCGGAUGAUUCCGAGAUGGGACGAUUGCAAGCUCUGUUAGAGGCCAGGGGUCUUCCUCCUCACCUGUUUGGUCCUCUUGGUCCUCGGAUGUCACAACUUUUCCAUAGAACAAUUGGAAGCGGAGCUAGUUCUAAGGCCCAGCAGCUUCUGCAAGGACUACAAGCAAGCGAUGAAAGCCAGCAACUCCAGGCAGUUAUUGAGAUGUGUCAGUUAUUGGUCAUGGGAAAUGAGGAGACACUGGGAGGGUUUCCUGUCAAGAGUGUUGUUCCAGCUUUGAUAACAUUACUGCAGAUGGAGCAUAAUUUUGAUAUUAUGAACCACGCUUGUCGAGCCUUAACAUACAUGAUGGAAGCACUUCCUCGAUCAUCCGCUGUUGUAGUAGAUGCAAUUCCUGUCUUUUUAGAAAAGCUGCAAGUUAUUCAGUGUAUUGAUGUGGCAGAGCAGGCCUUGACGGCCUUGGAGAUGUUAUCACGUAGACACAGUAAAGCCAUUCUACAGGCGGGUGGUUUGGCAGACUGCUUGCUGUAUCUAGAGUUCUUCAGCAUAAAUGCCCAAAGGAAUGCACUAGCAAUUGCAGCCAAUUGCUGCCAGAGUAUCACGCCAGAUGAAUUUCAUUUUGUGGCAGAUUCCCUCCCAUUGCUAACCCAAAGGCUAACCCACCAGGACAAAAAGUCAGUAGAAAGCACUUGCCUUUGUUUUGCACGUCUCGUGGACAACUUCCAACAUGAGGAGAAUUUACUCCAGCAGGUUGCCUCCAAAGAUCUGCUAACAAAUGUUCAACAACUAUUGGUAGUAACUCCACCAAUUCUAAGUUCUGGGAUGUUUAUAAUGGUGGUUCGCAUGUUUUCUUUGAUGUGUUCCAACUGUCCAACUUUAGCGGUUCAACUUAUGAAGCAAAGUUUUACAGACAUUGCAGAAACACUUCACUUUCUCCUGUGUGGUGCCUCCAAUGGAAGUUGUCAGGAACAGAUUGAUCUUGUUCCACGAAGUCCUCAAGAACUGUAUGAACUGACAUCUCUGAUCUGUGAACUUAUGCCAUGUUUACCAAAAGAAGGCAUUUUUGCAGUUGAUACCAUGCUGAAGAAGGGAAACGCACAGAACACAGAUGGUGCGAUAUGGCAGUGGCGUGAUGACCGGGGCCUUUGGCAUCCCUAUAACAGGAUUGACAGCCGGAUCAUUGAGGUAGCAGCCCAUCAGGUCGGUGAGGAUGAGAUAAGCUUGUCCACUCUGGGACGAGUUUAUACUAUUGAUUUUAAUUCUAUGCAGCAAAUCAAUGAGGACACGGGAACAGCACGUGCCAUUCAGAGAAAACCUAACCCCUUAGCCAAUACUAACAGUAGUGGAUAUUCAGAGUUAAAGAAGGAUGAUGCUCGAGCACAGCUUAUGAAAGAGGAUCCGGAACUGGCUAAGUCUUUUAUUAAGACAUUAUUUGGUGUUCUUUAUGAAGUGUAUAGUUCCUCAGCAGGACCUGCGGUCAGACAUAAGUGCCUUAGAGCAAUUCUUAGGAUAAUUUAUUUCGCGGAUGCCGAACUUCUAAAGGAUGUCCUGAAAAAUCAUGCUGUUUCAAGUCAUAUUGCUUCCAUGCUAUCAAGCCAAGACCUGAAGAUAGUAGUUGGAGCACUUCAGAUGGCAGAGAUCUUAAUGCAGAAGUUACCUGAUAUUUUUAGUGUUUAUUUCAGAAGAGAAGGUGUAAUGCAUCAAGUAAAACACUUAGCAGAAUCGGAAUCAUUGUUGACAAGUCCACCAAAGGCAUGUACGAAUGGGUCAGGAUCCUUGGGGUCCACGACAUCUGUCAGCAGUGGAACAGCCACGGCUGCCACUAAUGCCUCAGCUGACUUGGGGUCCCCCAGCUUGCAGCACAGCAGAGAUGAUUCUUUAGAUCUGAGCCCUCAAGGUCGAUUAAGUGAUGUUCUAAAGAGAAAACGACUGCCAAAACGAGGAUCAAGAAGGCCAAAGUAUUCACCUCCAAGAGAUGAUGACAAAGUAGACAAUCAAGCUAAAAGCCCCACCACUACUCAGUCACCUAAAUCUUCUUUCCUGGCAAGCUUGAAUCCAAAAACGUGGGGAAGGUUAAGCGCACAGUCUCACAGCAACAACAUUGAACCGGCCCGAGCUGCGGGAGUUAGUGGUCUUGCCAGGGCCGCCUCAAAGGACACCAUAUCCAAUAACAGAGAAAAAAUCAAAGGCUGGAUUAAAGAGCAGGCGCAUAGAUUUGUAGAGCGUUAUUUCAGUUCUGAGAACAUGGAUGGAAGCAACCCUGCAUUGAACGUCCUGCAGAGACUUUGUGCUGCAACCGAACAGCUCAGCCUCCAGGUGGAUGGUGGAGCUGAGUGCCUUGUAGAAAUCCGUAGCAUAGUCUCAGAGUCGGAUGUUUCAUCAUUUGAAAUCCAACAUAGUGGAUUUGUGAAGCAGCUAUUGCUUUAUUUGACAUCUAAAAGCGAAAAGGAUGCUGUGAGCAGAGAGAUCAGAUUAAAGAGAUUCCUUCAUGUGUUUUUUUCUUCUCCACUUCCUGGAGAAGAGCCCAUUGGAAGAGUAGAACCAGUGGGUAAUGCACCUUUGUUGGCAUUAGUUCACAAGAUGAACAACUGCCUCAGCCAGAUGGAACAGUUUCCAGUCAAAGUGCAUGACUUUCCGAGUGGAAAUGGCACAGGAGGCAGCUUUUCUCUCAACAGAGGAUCACAGGCUUUAAAAUUUUUCAACACACAUCAGUUAAAAUGCCAGUUACAAAGACAUCCAGACUGUGCAAAUGUGAAGCAGUGGAAGGGUGGACCUGUCAAGAUUGACCCUCUGGCUUUGGUGCAAGCUAUCGAGAGAUACCUUGUAGUUAGAGGGUAUGGAAGAGUAAGAGAAGAUGAUGAAGACAGUGACGAUGAUGGCUCUGAUGAGGAAAUAGACGAGUCUCUGGCUGCUCAAUUCUUAAAUUCAGGAAAUGUACGACACAGGCUACAGUUUUACAUUGGAGAACAUUUGCUGCCGUAUAACAUGACUGUGUAUCAGGCAGUACGGCAGUUCAGUAUACAGGCUGAAGAUGAACGGGAAUCCACGGAUGAUGAGAGCAAUCCUCUAGGAAGAGCUGGUAUUUGGACGAAAACUCAUACAAUAUGGUACAAACCUGUGAGAGAGGAUGAAGAAAGCAAUAAAGAUUGUGUUGGUGGUAAAAGAGGAAGAGCCCAAACAGCUCCAACAAAAACUUCCCCUAGAAAUGCAAAAAAGCACGAUGAGUUGUGGAACGAUGGAGUGUGCCCGUCAGUAUCAAAUCCUUUAGAAGUUUACCUCAUACCCACACCACCUGAAAAUAUAACUUUUGAAGACCCUUCAUUAGAUGUGAUUCUUCUUUUAAGAGUUUUACAUGCCAUCAGUCGAUACUGGUAUUACUUGUAUGAUAAUGCAGUGUGCAAGGAGAUUAUCCCAACUAGUGAAUUUAUUAACAGUAAGUUGACAGCAAAAGCAAAUAGGCAGCUUCAGGAUCCUUUAGUAAUCAUGACAGGAAACAUCCCAACAUGGCUUACUGAACUAGGAAAAACCUGCCCGUUUUUCUUCCCUUUUGAUACCCGGCAAAUGCUUUUUUAUGUAACUGCAUUUGAUCGGGACCGAGCAAUGCAAAGAUUACUUGAUACCAACCCAGAAAUCAACCAGUCUGAUUCUCAAGAUAGCAGAGUUGCACCUAGAUUGGAUAGAAAAAAAGUAACGUACUGUGAACAGAGAGGAGCUGCUGAAACAAGCAGAGUCUGUGAUGCAGGAUCUUGGCAGCUCACGGGCCAUGUUAGAAAUUCAGUAUGAAAAUGAGGUUGGCACAGGUCUGGGGCCUACACUGGAGUUUUAUGCACUUGUAUCUCAGGAACUACAGAGAGCUGACUUGGGUCUCUGGAGAGGGGAAGAAGUAACUCUUAGCAAUCCAAAAGGAAGCCAAGAAGGGACCAAGUAUAUUCAAAACCUCCAAGGCCUGUUUGCGCUUCCCUUUGGUAGGACAGCUAAGCCAGCUCACAUCGCAAAAGUUAAGAUGAAGUUUCGCUUCUUAGGAAAAUUAAUGGCCAAGGCUAUCAUGGAUUUCAGAUUGGUGGACCUUCCCCUGGGCUUACCUUUUUAUAAAUGGAUGCUACGGCAGGAAACUUCGCUGACGUCACAUGAUUUGUUUGACAUUGACCCAGUUGUAGCCAGAUCAGUGUAUCACCUAGAAGACAUUGUCAGACAGAAGAAAAGACUUGAACAAGAUAAAUCCCAGACCAAAGAGAGUCUGCGGUCUGCGUUAGAAACCCUGACUAUGAAUGGCUGCUCAGUUGAAGAUCUAGGAUUGGAUUUCACUCUGCCAGGGUUUCCCAACAUCGAACUGAAGAAAGGAGGAAAGGAUAUACCAGUCACCAUCCACAAUUUGGAGGAGUAUCUAAGACUGGUUAUAUUCUGGGCACUAAAUGAAGGCGUUUCCAGGCAGUUUGAUUCAUUCAGAGAUGGAUUUGAGUCAGUCUUCCCACUCAGUCACCUUCAGUACUUCUAUCCGGAAGAACUGGAUCAGCUCCUGUGUGGCAGUAAAGCAGACACUUGGGAUGCAAAGACACUGAUGGAAUGCUGCAGGCCAGAUCACGGUUACACUCAUGACAGUCGGGCUGUGAAGUUCUUGUUUGAGAUUCUCAGUAGUUUUGAUAAUGAGCAGCAGAGGUUAUUUCUCCAGUUUGUGACAGGUAGCCCAAGAUUGCCUGUUGGAGGCUUCCGGAGCUUGAAUCCACCUUUGACAAUUGUCCGGAAGACCUUCGAAUCAACAGAGAACCCAGAUGACUUCCUGCCCUCCGUAAUGACCUGUGUGAACUACCUUAAGCUGCCGGACUAUUCGAGCAUCGAGAUAAUGCGAGAAAAGCUGCUGACGGCAGCCAGGGAAGGGCAGCAGUCAUUCCAUCUUUCCUGAUCACAGCGAGAAACGCGGUGUCUGCCUGUUACAGCAAAAGAGAAAAAUCAUGGUUUCUUUUCUAAAUGUAUCACCUGAGUCAAGGAAACAUGUUACGCCUUCUUGUUGUAGGAAAACGGCUUGCAGAUUAUAAAAGAGACACUUGGUUCCUAUUCAUUAAUGGCCCCAUGGACUUAAAGUGAUCAGGCCCUAAAACGUUGUUGUGAUGAGGUUUCUUUAGCAAGUUCUUGUUUAAAUUAUCAUUUAUUUGACGAGUGAAGUUUUUAACUUGCUUUGCUGUGUGAAAUUUAAAAAAGGGAUGUUUUUCCAGGCUGAAACAAUAAAUGUCGCUGUGCAGUUUAAUUCUGGGCUGUGUGUAUCCAUCUAGCUAAGUCUGCAGUUUUGUUUCCUCCAAAGACAACUCUUGUACAUAAGUACAGCAAUUAAAGCUCCCGUGUAUUUGACAAAUACAGUUUAGUAGGUGAGCUCUGUGUGCUUCUCACUUCCCUUGAGAUUCCCCGCCCUGACCCGUGUACUGUCUGUGCCGCUCACACAGGUUUUUUUGUAUACAGAACCCACAGUUGGUACAUCUUCGUCAGCCAUGGGCUUUCGUUGUUCCAUGUUCUCUCUCAAAUUAAGAUAUAAUUUAAAAUUCAUGGAAUUGAAAAACGUUGUCAAUAUAAUUCAGCCUUUGUAACUAGGUAGCCUUUUCUUAUAGCUUAGUUUUAAUAUAGUUGUAGGGUAUCACUGGCCUUGUACCAGGGACGCACUAGGACUGUUUACAUGGUGAUUCCGGCAACCGCCGCCUCUGGAAUGGAGGCAAGGAGAGCUCAUUCGUUUCUUUUGUGUAGGUUAAAAAGUCUGCAGCUUGGGCUGGCCAGUAUUUAUUAUUCUGUGGCCAGAGCAUUUUGAAUUGAUGUAUACGGUUUUAAGCAAAGUUAGCAGUUUUCAUUCCCUGUUGGAGUAAAAAAAAAGUUUUUCUCCCUUGUUCUCAUUUUAAGUUUCUGUUCACUGUCUUCUUUGGUUAUUCCGCUCUCCUCUUCCCCUCCUCCCCGUGCUCACGUGGGACAGACAGCUCAGCCUUUGUCUCCACACACAUCAAAGCACCUGUAAGCAAUGCUCUGUCCAGUUGUUUUAUGUGCUGAUUUCUCAAACCUGCAAUAAUUCAUCAGGUUCAUGUUUCUACCUGAAAAUAAAUAAAGUUUGCUUCACCUUUUUGUUUAUAGUUCUGUGCCGUAUGCAUAACUUUUAGUUGUAGAGAUGUAUCUCAAUGCAGGCAGAUCAUCACAGCUCAUGGCUGAUUUCGCUAUUCAAAGAAUUUAGAAUAGCAACUGAAGAACGUAAAAUGUAGAAAGAGAAUGAGAGGAGACUCCUUCCUUCAUUCCUAAGGUUCAAAAUUAAGCCUGUUGCAUAAAUUUGAGAGAAUUUCCAUAAUUCAUCUUUCUGAAAAAGAGAUGAGCUAAUUGUUUUUUUAUUGGACUUUGAGAAAUCAAUUUUCUUUUGUUUGUUUUAAAGUCUUGUUUAAUUGAUGUCAAAACCCCUUUGUCGCCUAUUUCACCACUUAAAAGAAACUCCAUGACUUGUUUUAUUUACAUUACUUUGUCGUUUCCACUUAAAUGGCCUUAUACGAGCAUCCCCUCGUCUCAGUGCACCUGGGCAGUGACACCCCCCCCCCCCUUAGGUGGGACAGAGCUGUGAGAGGAACUCGGAGCGUGUCUCCCUGGUCCUUGCAGAGGCUCUGGAGAGUGAGCUGCUUCCCUUUGACAUCGUAGGAGGGACUUGUGUUUCUGCAGUUCUAACAUUGACACCGUAGGACCUGUGCAGUUUAAUCAAGUGAAACUAGUGUUAAAGAAUGAACCAAUUUGUUUUAAAUUGUUCUGAUACCUUUUUACGGACUAAGCACAAAAAAGAGUUUUGCGUGAACAUAACCUUUUUGUUCCUCAUUUUUUAAAGGGUUCUGUUGUUAAAAUUUAGACGUAUGUAUAAACAAAGUAAUGCAUCAUAUUCAGAUAUCUUCUGUAUUUAACAUAACAUUUUAUCCAUAUCAUGGCCCUGGCAGAUUUGGCCUCAUUGAUUUCAGCGUCUAAGGAGUGUGUCCAUUGGAUGGUUUUGAAUUGCACUGUGGAGCUUGAUUGUUUCAAAGUCGGUAGUUAUCUGUUUAAAAGCUUUCAGUCUUUAGCUUACUCCUUAAUUUUGGAACGCUUGGUUAAUUAGGGGCAAGAAGACUUCCCAUUUGAAAGCAGUCUCUCUUGGCAGAGGCCUUAAUAUUACAUCACAGGGAAAAAUAGACUUCAUUUGCUGUUCCUCCAGUUAUGCCUUAAAUUUAUUUGUUGAGUAAUCCUGUCAACAAGCACUACUCUCUUAAGUAUGCUUUACACACGUAGACAGUUUGGAUAGUGGCUAAGAUUUUGUUGUCUUUCAGUUUUUGCUGAGGUGGAGUCAGUCGGAUGUUAGUCACAGCUAACACCGACCAUGGCGUCGUCAUUUAGAAAGUUACUGAUUUGAUCCACUUUGUUUAUGAAAACGUAGUUCUCACUAUUUAAGAAGGAAGAGUUGGUUAAAUGUAUUCCCCUCCUCCCAGCCCCCCCCAAAAAGUGAAUGAAUUGUAAAUGCUAGGCAGUCUCAUCAGGAACAGACACGGAGGGAAUUCUAGAUGCCUUAGCCAAACCCAGCAGAAGAAACCUUUCAUGCAGCUUCUCAUUGGAUACAGACUUUUCUUUCUCUUCCUGUGCUUCAGCUCUGGUUCCCUGUGUUUGUACUGAUCGAGAACUGUCUUUCACCUUAGCAUUCUAUAAAGAAGAUAGUAUUCUAAAGUCUGCUUUUCCUGCAUUUGGCUAUUCUUGCAAGUUUGGUACAUAACAUGAAAAGGAGAGGUUCAGCUGGCCGGCUGACGUCACUUCCUGCGCUCCUUCAGGGCGUCCUGUGCAUAAAGGCCAUAAGGCCGAGGGACAGAAAGCCCCAGCUUCUGCAUCCAAGAAGUUAGAUUCAACUCUUGAUUUUCCGCAGUAAGGACUAUCGCCAGCGACUUGUGAGUUUGUUUUUCCUUUAGUUCACCAGGUGUUCAGGCUGUGCUCCCGAUUCCUGUCAGUAAAUUCAGGAAAUGGGAAUGUUGCUGAUACUGCACGAAAAGAUGUGAUGAAAAAGGAGACUUGCUGGGGAAAGACAUAAUUGUGCAUUCAGAAACCAAGUCCUUCUGGGGGAGGAUUCUGGAUGCUGUUGUUCAUUCUUCAUUAGCAAAGAUGAUCGAGCCUUUAAUUCAUUUAUCUUGGGCUUUGUUUUUUUUGACCCACAUUAUUUUCCCUAUUGUAAUGAGAACAUUGUUUGAAAAUGUCGUACUCUGUAUUUCUUACUCUGAGAAAUGCUUUUGUAUGGGUCUUAGGUUUGACGCUGCAGUAGUUGGCAUACCCAGUAAGGAAUAACAUAGUGACAAAUCACUGAAAAUGCUUCUUCCUUUGUUACCUCAAAAGAAAAAAAAUUCCAGACAAAAUAUAGCAUUUAUAUUUAUAGAAAAUGGAGGAUUGGCUGUUUUCCAAGAACUUCAAGUUAAUUCUUAUGCAAGAAAAAGUUCUUAACUCUAAAGACUUGUUCUGCAUAAGUAGACACUCUUUAAUAAUGGAAGAGGUGGUUUUAUUUUUACAACAAGCCUACUCAUAUUACCAAACCUAUAACCAAUUGCUGAUCUCCUGUGUAAAGCAUUUUUUUCUCUUAUCUGAAACAGUGAUUUAUAUGAACUGUUGGAAUAAUGGAACCUCAAACUACAGAUGUGUAUGUAAAAUUGCAUAAAUGCACUGACUUCCUUCUCCCUGAAUAUAUUUUUAAUAAACAGCAUUAUCCUA